rnacentral:rRNA from 1 species
UAAUACGUAGGGUGCGAGCGUUGUCCGGAAUUAUUGGGCGUAAAGAGCUCGUAGGCGGGUUGUCGCGUCGGCUGUGAAGAACCGGAGCUCAACUCCGGGCCUGCAGUCGAUACGGGCAGACUUGAGUGUUGCAGGGGAGACUGGAAUUCCUGGUGUAGCGGUGAAAUGCGCAGAUAUCAGGAGGAACACCGGUGGCGAAGGCGGGUCUCUGGGCAACAACUGACGCUGAGGAGCGAAAGCGUGGGGAGCGAACAG